CUGCCCCUUAGUUGAGGAUAACCAUUCUAACGGAUGGCUAAUACUGAAUAUAGACUGGUGUCGCCUGGCACCGGAUCAAAAGGCUUCGGCCGCUGAGGGAUGAUCUCGCUUCUGAUUAGCUUGUUGGUGAGGUAGUGGCUCACCAAGGCGACGAUCAGUAGCCGGCCUGAGAGGGUGAUCGGCCACAUUGGGACUGAGAUACGGCCCAGACUCCUACGGGAGGCAGCAGUAGGGAAUAUUGCACAAUGGAGGAAACUCUGAUGCAGCAACGCCACGUGUGGGAUGACGCAUUUAGGUGUGUAAACCACUGUCAGAUGGGAAUAUAAUGAAUGUACCAUCAAAGGAAGCACCGGCUAACUUCGUGCCAGCAGCCGCGGUAAUACGAGGGGUGCAAGCGUUGUUCGGAAUCACUGGGCGUAAAGGGUCCGUAGGCGGAUACACAAGUCAGAUGUUUAAUUUCGAGGCCUAACUUCGAGUUUGCGUUUGAAACUGUGUAUCUUGAAUAGAUCAGAGGUUGAUGGAAUACCUGGUGUAGCGGUGGAAUGCGUAGAUAUCAGGUAGAACACCAAUGGCGAAGGCAGUCAACUGGGAUCAUAUUGACGCUGAGGGACGAAAGCGUGGGUAGCAAACAGGAUUAGAUACCCUGGUAGUCCACGCUGUAAACGAUGUUCAUCUAGGCGCUUGAGUAAUUGGGUGCCGCAGCUAACGCAUUAAGUGAACCGCCUGGGGAGUACGCUCGCAAGAGUGAAACUCA
rnacentral:rRNA from 1 species